UACGUAGGGUCCGAGCGUUGUCCGGAAUUAUUGGGCGUAAAGAGCUCGUAGGCGGUCUGUCGCGUCUGCCGUGAAAACCCGAGGCUUAACCUCGGGCUGGCGGUGGAUACGGGCAGACUAGAGGUAGGUAGGGGAGAAUGGAAUUCCCGGUGUAGCGGUGAAAUGCGCAGAUAUCGGGAGGAACACCGGUGGCGAAGGCGGUUCUCUGGGCAAUUCCUGACGCUGAGGCGCGAAAGCGUGGGGAGCAAACGGG
rnacentral:rRNA from 1 species